rnacentral:rRNA from 1 species
UACGGAGGGUGCAAGCGUUAUCCGGAUUCACUGGGUUUAAAGGGUGCGUAGGAGGGCAGGUAAGUCAGUGGUGAAAUCUCCAAGCUUAACUUGGAACUGCCGUUGAUACUAUCUGUCUUGAAUACCGUGGAGGUGAGCGGAAUAUGUCAUGUAGCGGUGAAAUGCUUAGAGUAUGACAUAGAACACCAAUUGCGAAGGCAGCUCGCUACACGAAUAUUGACUCGUGAGGCACGAAAGCGUGGGAUCAAACAGG